CGGACGAAAUUGUCCAGCAAUCAGGGAAGCGGUAUAUCGCGUGUCUGAGAUAAAACCAGGGGAUAAAAGGGCACCAUAUCACCGAAAGUGAAAUGGUGCGUCCGAGUGGACUCGAACCACCGACCCCCACCA
rnacentral:antisense_RNA from 1 species